AAGAACGGACCUCCAGAAUGAAUUAAGUUCUUAACCCGAGGUACCACUGUACCAACAGACACUGUAAGCGUUCUGUUACAGUACUUUUCUGGAAGACUAUACAGUGGUACCUCUGGUUACGUACUUAAUUCAUUACGGA